rnacentral:rRNA from 1 species
AACGUAGGAGACAAACGUUAUCCGGAGUUACUGGGCGUAAAGGGCGUGCAGGUGGUCUGUUAAGUUCGGCGUGAAAGCGCCCGGCUAAACCGGGCGAGGUCGUCGGAGACUGGCGGACUAGAGGACGGUAGAGGCGGGUGGAAUUCCGGGUGUAGUGGUGAAAUGCGUAGAGAUCGGGAAGAAUACCAGUGGCGAAGGCGUUCUGCUGGGCCGUUGCUGACGCUGAGGCGCGACAGCGUGGGGAGCACACAGG